GCUUCAGAUUCCAUAUUUCCCUCUCUCUCUGUCCCUCCCCUGUUUGCACUUUCUCUCAAAAAUGAAUAAACGUUAAAAAUAUUUUUUUAAUUUGAUUAGGAAAUUGAGAAUCAAAACUAGAUUAAUAUAAAAGCAGCAUUUGUUUCCAUUAAUAAUAUUAACAAUACUUGAAUUCACUGAGCAUUUUUCUACGUCAUGCACCAUUAUGCUCUAUUGAUACAUGUCAUUUAAUUAAUUUUUAAAAUAACCCUAUUAGGAAGGUACCAUUACUAUCUCUAUUUUCCAGAAUAGGAAACUCAAGUGGAAACGCUAAUUUGUCCAAAAUCACCUAGCUAGUAACUGAAGGUGUUAGGAGUCAAAGUUGGCUAUCUGACUGUAGAAAUUGUAUUUUUAACCUCUAAACCAAGCCCAGUGUAAUGGCACAAACAUCUUCAGCAAAUUAAAACAAAACUCAAAAAACAAAACAAAACAAAGAAACAAAAACAAAACUCAAUACAGUGAUAUGUUUGUUUUCAUAACUGAAUCACACUGUCCUUUUAAAGUUCUUAAAUUGUUCAUAAGAAGCUGUGGCAUUUUCUAUACAUUUUUUUUUGGUCUACCUUUAUUUAAAAACUAGUUGGAACUCUAUGUAGUUGGGUUUUCUUUUUUUUAAUGAAGGCACAUUCAAAAUUAAAAAUAACUUUCACAACAAACACAGCCAGCAAGAGAUAAAUUAUUCUUAUAAGGGCCAUUAUUAUUAUUGUGCUUUUUCUCUAUGUGAAAAUGUGAGACUAAAAAAUGCUAACACAGUAACUAAAUUUUUGGCCUACUAAUCACUAGACACUUUUUUUGAUUGACUCUACCAUGAUCAACCCAUUUUCCACAUAUUAAAAGCAUGAAAUCUUCAUCCUGUAGUCAUGUUAUAGUGUGUGCUGGCUUUUAGGCAUGCAAUCGAUUCUUGGGUAAUGUCAGGAGAGUGUGGUGUGUGAGCAUGCAUGAAAUGCAUUUAUUAUCCUUCCUCCCAAUGCCUACACUCUCCACUUUGAGUCUCAGAUCUGAAAUAAUUUUAUUUCCAUUCCAUUCUGUAUAAGAUCCCUCUCAAAGUAGAUUAACUUAUGAAUAUGUCUGAGUGUGUAUAUAUCCAGAUUUCAUGUCAGGAAAUUUUAAGUAGUACAUCAUGAAUCACUUUUUCUACUCUUGUUCCCCACAUCCUUUUUGGUAACAAGCAAUUAAUAGAGGCUGGAGGAGUCUUCCUGUACUCUUGAUACCUUCUGUUUAUAUCUACCAUGGAUUUGUCCAUCCCACAAAACCAAAUGAAAUCUCCUCCAGCCUCCAUACCAGGUAAAACACAUUCAUACUAAAUUUAAACAGUCCUUGAAUAUGAGAAAUGUUCCUAUUUGGAAUGUUUUCAACAAAAAGGAAUAAACAAGACUUUUUUUGGGGGAAUACAUGUUACCUUUCAGGGAAAUCAUAGUUUAUAAGUGAUACAGUAGAGAAAUUUUCUCUCAAAGCUUACUUUAUCAGUUUCUUCAAGGAGUUUGAUGACGCGAUUUAGGUCCAUGGUCUUGAAAGCACCCUAAAAAACAUACAACUCUUACAAUUCUGUGUCAUGAGAAUCAAGAAAUCACAUCAAACACACUAUUUUUCUAUGAUAUUAUCCCUCAGCAACUUAAAAGUAUCUUAUGACAAAAAGAUAGUGAGGAGAAAGGGAUAAUGGAGGGAUGGGCAAAAUGGGUGAAGGGGAGUUAGAGAUAGAGACCUCCAGCUAUGGAAUACUUACAGGGAUGAAAAGUACAUACAGCAUAAGAAAUAGAGUGAAUGGUAUUCUAACAGUAUUGCAUGGUGACAGACAACAGGUACACUUGUGAUGAGCAUAGCAUUAACUAUACACUUGUGGAAUGACUAUGUUGUACACCUGAAACUAAUGCAACAUUACAUGUGAACUAUACUUCAAUUUCUAUAAAAGAUAUGGAGGGGAGAAUGAAAAGCAGAUGAGACCUUACAGGAGUAAAUAAAUUUUGGAGUUGAAAAAAAUAAUAAAAAUGCCUCUUGAAUUCUAGUAUUAUAAUCUUAUGGUCUUUAAAUUUCAAAACACCUGUAAUAAUCGCACUUCCAUGCUUUGGAAAAUGAAAUGAUCCGGUACAUAUAUAUUCCACAUCCCACACAUGCACAAUACAUUGAGUUUGUCUAUGCAGAUAUACAUAAGACUUGCUUCUAAACUACAGGUAGGAGAUCAUCUUCCUGAACUAGGUAUCCCCUUUCUCAGUUGGUACCAGCAUUCUUACAGUCAUCAACAUUAGAAAACAGAAUGUCCAAGUUCUAUAGAUUUUACAUUUUAAAUAUUUCUUGAGCACAACUGAUUUAUUCACAGAGUUGUGAAGGUAUCCUGCUGUUCUCAGUGCCUAUACUCUCCCACCCUUCAUCAUGGUCCUCUACUCUAUGGUGAAUAAUAAAACUCAAUUCUGAACAUAACCCAUCUAAAUCAUUCAGUUACUCUCCAUUAGUGCCCCUCACCCCUCCUCUAUUUUCCUUCCCUUGGUUAAACCCCACGGGUGCUUCAAAACUCAGCUCAGGUAUUGCCUCCCCAAGGGAAGGAAAAAGAUAGAACAAAUGUCCUUCCUUUGUGCUCCCACAGCACCCUAAGUUCUUUAUCCACUACAAUUCCCAUCAUGGUUCUAGAAUGGUUUGCAUGUUUAUCCCCCACCACACCCUCCCCAAAGCUCACUCAAGGCAAAGACUUUUGUUUUCUGGCACCCCAGCUCCAGAAACUGGGCCUGGCAUAUGAAGUUAUUGGUAGCGAGUGAAGGAACAAGAGCCAUUAGAUACCAAAUUCACCUACUUCUCAGUUGUGCCUGGUUCCUGGGACAAUGGCGGUAACGCUGAGCCCCCCUGCAGCCUUGGGAGUGGAGAGCUGCUGCUCCUGAAAGUCUUUCUCCUCCCUACCCUAUUGGAAUACGUCCACAAAACUGAUAAGGGAGGGGCAAUGGAACCCUAGUAUGAAACAAACGACGUGGAGUUCACAAACACUUCCGCCACGAAUGGAGAUCCAGCCGAGGGUUCCGAAAUGAAGUAUCUCAACAGACCAACUUAGAAGAACUAAUUUUGUAUUCCUAAUAAAAAUAAACUCAAAACCAAAUACAAGUAAAGUAAAAUAUGUAAAUUCUGUUCUCUCUCAACUCCGGCUCCAUAACCAGCCUCCAAUUUCAUAUGAAAAUGAGGCUACUUUCUAAUAUUGACAGAUUUUCCUUCCCUCCAGGUGUAGGUUUUAAAGUGGGAGCUAAUUUAAACACGAGAGAUUUUACCCCUAUGUCAAGAACAUCACUUAGUAACAGGUAUCUACGUACAAGCCCAUUGCAAACAAAAUGCUCAUUAAAUCCAUGAUUUUGCUACAAACGUAUCCUUUCCUCCCACGCCCUUCGUGGUCACACUUUUCGAAGAAAAGCGGCAAAACCUCGCUUAUUCUGUUUAGUGGGACGGUCCGGGAGAACCUCGCGCCACAGUCCCCAGACAGGUUGGCUGACGACAGCUGGACCCUCCCUCCGGCGGCAGUUCUCGGAAGGAUCGGCGUUGCCUUGGGAACCUCCGUCCCGCGGGCUCCGACUGUUUCCACUUCGGCCCCCAUUUCCGCCCUUUGCUGCCCCCAGGCCUCUCCCCGCCCCCCCCCCCCCAGAUCCCAACCUCCCCUCCACACUUCCCAAAGCACAGACACCCGACCAUACCUGUGCGUCCUCGUCCUCCGUCACCACCCCGACCACCGGGAUUUGGCGAGGGCUGCUGGACCUGUUCCUGCGGCCCGGUUCCGGGACCUCGGAGGUCCCCGCGGCCUCAGCUACCGACAUGGCUGAAGUGGGAGGGAGGGAGGGAUGGGGGCGGGGGUGGUCCUCCAGUCCUACACAGUUCCCUUAGCCUCAAGAUCCACAGAGUCCCCCCCACCAAGAAGAGAAAGCCGCCGGAGAGCCGCUAGGGUCGCGAAAAGCCUCGGGAGUCCGGCAGUGGCCUCGGCCACUGCGACGCCACCCUUAUUAUCAAGCCACCGCAGCCCACCGGCGGACUUCGGCUCCCGCGGGCUGGCGGGUUGUUAACAAGCCAGAGCGUUGCUAGGGGCGGGGUCGGGGGCGGCAGAAGCGUCGGCUCCUACGGAAGCCUGGGGAGCCAAACUACCCCAAACCCUAAAGGCACCUCCAAGUUGCGAGGAGCUCAGUUUGGUCGCUGGCGGGAGGGAGGCGGGAGUAGACGACCCCGGAUUGCUGUGAGAAGACAGAAUGAGAUGGUAGUUUGCAGAUUGGCGUUUUGCACUUAAGUACCCAGGUUAAAACUGUCAUAGAAACAACAAAGUCCUUGCUACCUGUGAUGACCUGAAAAUAAAAUGCAGAACAAUCCUGCUAGAGCCUGGGAUCGGGAAGUCCUCACGGGAAGAAAGCCAGGAGGAAAGAAAGGUUUCUAGACCACGUGUUUCGGCAGCAGUGGCACGGUGCUCCAUUUAGAAGGGAGUUGAGCAUGAUACAGCUUCUGUCAUCUCUGCAUGUUAAAACAAUCUAAGUACAGUCGACUGAGAUCAAUUUUCUGGUUAAUGAUGAAGAUUUAUAGAACAGCAGGAGAAGUUGACUCCUGGUGCUCAUUUAGAGGAAAGCCAACUCUGCUCAAAGGAGGAAGAUACCUUCAACAGAACAGGAGAAAGCCAACACAUGAAAGUACAAGCAAGAAAUGGGGAAAGACACAGAAGAGUCCUGGUGAUAUAUUUUAAGUAUUUAGAGUUCCGGAGACCAGAUAAUGAAUUUUUCAGUCACACAAGCCAAUACUUUUCCUUUUUUGCUUUAGUUUCAAUAGGGUAUCUAUCGCUGGCAUUUUAAAGACUCCUGAGUAAAGCAUAUGCCAAUCAUCAGAUAUUUAUGGAACUCAACUUUAUAAUAGACACUGAGGAAAAAGAAAUGAGACUUUAUGUCUGUUCUGGAGGAGCUCACAGUUUAUUUCCUUAAUAAAUAUUAUUCCAAAUCAUUUAGUGAUUUAACCAACAUUAUAGAGUACUCUGGGAGGUGGGUGUGUGUCUAUGAAUAAGAAUAGAAGUUUUAUCUACUGUAAUCGAACAAAAUAUAAUGCACUACGUUUAGAUGUUUUAACUCUGAGUUGUAGGAUGGCAAAGAUGUUAACACACAAAUCUACACUUACUCAAUAUAAACUCAUUAAUUCUAUUGUUAUUCUAUUCUGUUAUUCUAACAAUAAUAUUAGGCAGUGGGAAUGUGAAGUUAAAUGAGAUGGAGCCUCUGCUCUCAAAACCUCAAAGUCUAGGGGAGAGGGCAGAAAUUUCAACAACUAACAGCAUGGUAAUGCAAUGAAUUCUAAAGGAAGGCAGUUUUAUGGACAGAUUGUGGCACGGAAAGGGUGAGGGCUCUCUUGCAGACCUGGUCCUGGGGCGUCAAGCAAGUUGGCAGCAUUUGCUGAGUGAGGGCCACUUCAUACAGAAUCUGGGUGAAAAGGCAAAGUGGCCUUGGAGAAGUAUCCACCCAUUCAUCUGCACUGUAGGAAGACCAUACUGAAGAGCAAGGCCAAGGAAAAGUCCAGGGCAGUGAGGGAGCCUGUUGGCUCUGUGGUCCACAGUUAGAUUUGUGCCAGAAACCAAGAAAAUAAAAUACCAGUCAAAUCAAAUAUGUUGGUUUCCAUCAGACAUUAACCAAAUGUAUAAUUUAAAUUCUACAGUAAAAUCUUUUCAUGAAAGAAAAAAAAAACCCAGGAAACUACAUAGUGUUCAGAUGUUUGGAACUCCAGAUUUGACCCAAAGUUCUCUAACUUUCAUCCCAUUUAAAAAGCAAAACAUAUUUUUGAUGCGACUGUUCUGUUUUGCUGUACCAGGAUGGCUGCUGACCUGAUGUUCCUGCUAAAUAUUGACACAGCCCAACUGACUCAUGUUUUUGUCAAAGAGUUUAGAAUAUGAAGAAACUGGAUGACUAGAAUACAAUAUGAAUUGCUUUGCAUUUCCAAACCUUCUAAUCUUUCAAGCAUAUACUUGUUUCACCACAUUUAACUAUGUAAAGAGAAGAUGUUUUUUUCA